CGGCGCCUACGUGUCCCUCCCCCGAGGCCCCGCCCCCUUUUGCGGGCUCUCAUUCUCAACCCCAGGUCGACCCAUUUCCCUCUCCCAUUGGCCCGCGGCGGCUCCAACCAUUGGUCCGCGCUACCUGUCCAUUUCUUGCGAGAGUUCAACACCUCCUGGCUGGAGGAGCUGCGGCCUCAUUGGGUGCAUGCGGAGGGAUGGGUGGACCCAGAAAGUUUUAGGUGGAGGUUGAUUGUUAGACGAGCUGGAGACAGUGGAACAAUCUGUAAAGGCUGGGUGUGGAAGAAUAGAAAACCUCUGAAGAGGACACCGGGGUGGUUCAGUCGGGGUCCCACUUGAUCUCACGGUUGCUUCCUCUUCCAUAAAACGGGGAUGCCAAUCCAUACCUACCUUGGUGUAGAGGACGACACCAGAUUGUUUCUCAAGAUCUCUUCCAGCUCGGGAGAAACAGAGCUUAACAGAUGAAUGGCUGCUACCAGCAAGCUGGGGAAAAGGAAUCCAGAGCCUGUGAUUUCCAAGAGCCUUUGUGACCCUUUCUGGAGAGCUGAGGCUGUUCUGGAGGCCUCUAACGUCAGAGUCUUGGCCCUUUGCCUUAAGACUGGGAAACUCAGAAGCAGGGAAAGUAAAUGGCAUGCUCCAAUAACAUGGUGCUAACCAACAGCAGAUCUAAGAAAGAACUCAGGUCUUACAGCGUGGUACAGAUCCUUUUCACUACUUGCUGCCUCCUUCCAUGCUUCGAUGAGGUAUGACCGAAGUGGUUAGCCGCACAGAUUUCAAGCAGACAAGAUGAUACUGAAACCAUUAUCUAUGAACUCAUCAGUACAAUCAGGCGCCCUCAGAGGAAAAGCCAUAUGAGGACAAAGUGGCCAUCCAUAAGCUAGGAAGAGAGCCUUCGCCAGAACCCAAACUCUAUUGGAACCUUGAUCUUGGACUUUCCAGCCUCCAGAACUGUGAGAAAAUGAAUUUCUGUUGUUAAAGCCGUGCAGUCUGUGGUAUUUUGUUGUGGCAGGUGGACUAGACUAAUAUAGGUGGUUUACAGUUUGGGGCAGUUGUAAAUGAAGCUGCUGUGAAUGUUUGUGUAUGUCAGUGUGUGGACAUCUGCCUUCAUUUCUCUUGGGCAAAUGUCCAGAAGGGGAACGUCUGGGUCACAUGGUAUGUGUACCUUUACUCUUUUAAGAAACUGUCAGCACGGUUUUCCACAGUGACCAUGCCAUUUUGCAUACCCACCAGCAGCGUAUGGGACUUCCGAUUGCUUUGUUCUUGCCAAUACUUAGUGUGUUUAAUUGUUUUAAUUUUUAAAAAUCUAACUUUUUUGACGGCGAUUUAAUUUGCCAUUCUGGAGAAUGUGUGGUGUUAUCUCACUGCACGUUUAAUUGGCAGCCCCCUCAUGGCCAAUGAUGUAGCUCAUCUUUUCGUGUACUUACUUGCCAUCCUUGUAUCUUCUUUAGUGAAGUAUCUGUUCAAAUCUUUCACCCUCUUAAUCAUUGAUUGAGAGCUAAUGGAACACACAUUUGAAUAAGCAUAAGCAUAGAACAUCAGAUUGUGGAUCUUACCGACUAUCCAGGUUGGCAGUCUGGGAAAGGAGACCAGAACAUCCUGGAAGAGCACACGGCAUUGAAACUUGGCAGAGGCUGGUGAGAGCUGAGGAUCAAUUCUGCCAGCUUCCCAGUUGUUUCUAAGUUUGGCCUUGUGACCUUCCUAACAGUUUUCUCACCAUUCGCCCCCGGGGCUUCUGAGAACCCCAAUUUCAUGAAAUUUCUGUGGGAGUCUCUUGUCACAGGAGUGCACCAUCUGUGACUUUUGCCUCAAGAGGUUUGCCAAGAUUGUAGGCGGAGACAGAGACACCCACAGAAGUACCUAGAUAAGAUCUGGUCUGGAGUUGAGAACAAAGUAGUGUCUAAAACACAUUCCACUCGAGUGAAGUCCUUGGAAAGGAGGAAUGAGGAGAAAGGACCACGGGAUGAUAGGAACGAGAACAGACGAUAAUAGUUGGAGCCGUGAUCAAGGACACCGUGUUCCGUCAUGGCCAACUCCAUGCCUGGAAAAGAUAAGCGGGGGAGAAUCCGGGGAAGAGCAGAGAACAUGAUUAAAGAAUGAAGACUCUGAUUUAUGAGGCUGACUUCAUAGAGCUCACUGAAGCUAGUUCAUUUAACGAAAUGUAACUGAAGCUAAUUUUCCAUCAGAGCCUCAAAGGCAAUGGAAAUGCUCAUAUAAAAGAUUAGGAAAAUUGCAAAUGUAGGAGUCAGAUUGUCUAGCAAACCCAUUAAGUAAAAUGAAAAUAACUUCUGCAUUAAGCGGACCAGUUCGUGAUCUAAACUUGUCUUCUCUCUGUCCUGACAAGUCCCUCGUUCACAUUCUCUCGUUCUCUUCCAUCUUUCUCUUUAUUCCCUCCCUCUUUGUUUUUUUCUGGGGAAAUGUCAUAACUGUAUACAAAACCCCAGCUCCGCA